UUUGAAACACUGGGAGUAGCAGGGAACAUCAGUGCUUCCUCAAGCUAAUCAAUAGGAAAGUAACCAGUAGUAAAACCGGCGGGAGGCUCCGUCCACUGACCCGAGAUGUCAUGAAAAUGCUUCUGUGCAUGUGCAGAAGAGCGUGCGUGUGUGCGGCCCCGUUACAAAUCGGUAGUAAAGGUAAAAUCCAGUGCAUGCAAAAUCCAGAUUUAACCCACGCCCUGGUCAUGGUAAAGAAGAGAGGUUCCCCUACAUUUGUGAAAGAAACACACUUUGUUUAAUUUCAACAAUGAAGGACCUUGGAAGCCUCCCAUACAGCCUAUCAAUCAAGAAUUGACUGGAUAAAGUUUUUAACUGAUUGACUCACAAUAGUUUUUUUUCUUUUUUUUCACUUUAUUAAUUUAUUUUGGUUCCUCAAGUAAUCAGUCAAGACAUCUCAUAUACAUGCCUAUUUAUCCAGAGUUCCUGGACA